AGAGUUUGAUCAUGGCUCAGAUUGAACGCUGGCGGCAGGCCUAACACAUGCAAGUCGAACGGUAACAGGAAGCAGCUUGCUGCUUUGCUGACGAGUGGCGGACGGGUGAGUAAUGUCUGGGAAACUGCCUGAUGGAGGGGGAUAACUACUGGAAACGGUAGCUAAUACCGCAUAACGUCGCAAGACCAAAGAGGGGGACCUUCGGGCCUCUUGCCAUCGGAUGUGCCCAGAUGGGAUUAGCUUGUUGGUGGGGUAACGGCUCACCAAGGCGACGAUCCCUAGCUGGUCUGAGAGGAUGACCAGCCACACUGGAACUGAGACACGGUCCAGACUCCUACGGGAGGCAGCAGUGGGGAAUAUUGCACAAUGGGCGCAAGCCUGAUGCAGCCAUGCCGCGUGUAUGAAGAAGGCCUUCGGGUUGUAAAGUACUUUCAGCGGGGAGGAAGGGAGGUAAAGUUAAUACCUUUGCUCAUUGACGUUACCCGCAGAAGAAGCACCGGCUAACUCCGUGCCAGCAGCCGCGGUAAUACGGAGGGUGCAAGCGUUAAUCGGAAUUACUGGGCGUAAAGCGCACGCAGGCGGUUUGUUAAGUCAGAUGUGAAAUCCCCGGGCUCAACCUGGGAACUGCAUCUGAUACUGGCAAGCUUGAGUCUCGUAGAGGGGGGUAGAAUUCCAGGUGUAGCGGUGAAAUGCGUAGAGAUCUGGAGGAAUACCGGUGGCGAAGGCGGCCCCCUGGACGAAGACUGACGCUCAGGUGCGAAAGCGUGGGGAGCAAACAGGAUUAGAUACCCUGGUAGUCCACGCCGUAAACGAUGUCGACUUGGAGGUUGUGCCCUUGAGGCGUGGCUUCCGGAGCUAACGCGUUAAGUCGACCGCCUGGGGAGUACGGCCGCAAGGUUAAAACUCAAAUGAAUUGACGGGGGCCCGCACAAGCGGUGGAGCAUGUGGUUUAAUUCGAUGCAACGCGAAGAACCUUACCUGGUCUUGACAUCCACAGAACUUUCCAGAGAUGGAUUGGUGCCUUCGGGAACUGUGAGACAGGUGCUGCAUGGCUGUCGUCAGCUCGUGUUGUGAAAUGUUGGGUUAAGUCCCGCAACGAGCGCAACCCUUAUCCUUUGUUGCCAGCGGUCCGGCCGGGAACUCAAAGGAGACUGCCAGUGAUAAACUGGAGGAAGGUGGGGAUGACGUCAAGUCAUCAUGGCCCUUACGACCAGGGCUACACACGUGCUACAAUGGCGCAUACAAAGAGAAGCGACCUCGCGAGAGCAAGCGGACCUCAUAAAGUGCGUCGUAGUCCGGAUUGGAGUCUGCAACUCGACUCCAUGAAGUCGGAAUCGCUAGUAAUCGUGGAUCAGAAUGCCACGGUGAAUACGUUCCCGGGCCUUGUACACACCGCCCGUCACACCAUGGGAGUGGGUUGCAAAAGAAGUAGGUAGCUUAACCUUCGGGAGGGCGCUUACCACUUUGUGAUUCAUGACUGGGGUGAAGUCGUAACAAGGUAACCGUAGGGGAACCUGCGGUUGGAUCACCU
rnacentral:rRNA from 1 species